UACGUAGGGCGCAAGCGUUAUCCGGAAUUAUUGGCGUAAAGAGCUCGUAGGCGGUUUGUCGCGUCUGCUGUGAAAGACCGGGGCUCAACUCCGGUUCUGCAGUGGGUACGGGCAGACUAGAGUGCAGUAGGGGAGACUGGAAUUCCUGGUGUAGCGGUGAAAUGCGCAGAUAUCAGGAGGAACACCGAUGGCGAAGGCAGGUCUCUGGGCUGUAACUGACGCUGAGGAGCGAAAGCAUGGGGAGCGAACAGG
rnacentral:rRNA from 1 species